rnacentral:rRNA from 1 species
CUCCAGUUGAUCGCAUGGUCUUCUGGGAAAGCUUUCGCGGUAUGGGAUGGGGUCGCGUCCUAUCAGCUUGACGGCGGGGUAACGGCCCACCGUGGCUUCGACGGGUAGCCGGCCUAAGAGGGCGACCGGCCACAUUGGGACUGAGAUACGGCCCAGACUCCUACGGGAGGCAGCAGUGGGGAAUAUUGCACAAUGGGCGCAAGCCUGAUGCAGCGACGCCGCGUGAGGGAUGGAGGCCUUCGGGUUGUAAACCUCUUUUAUCGGGGAGCAAGCGAGAGUGAGUUUACCCGUUGAAUAAGCACCGGCUAACUACGUGCCAGCAGCCGCGGUAAUACGUAGGGUGCAAGCGUUAUCCGGAAUUAUUGGGCGUAAAGGGCUCGUAGGCGGUUCGUCGCGUCCGGUGUGAAAGUCCAUCGCUUAACGGUGGAUCCGCGCCGGGUACGGGCGGG